AGCUCCAAUAGCGUAUAUUAAAGUUGUUGCAGUUAAAAAGCUCGUAGUUGAAUUUAUUGGCUUGCUUUUGGCGGUCUGCUUCGAAUGAAGUUCGACUAACCGAGCAGCCAUUUCGUCUAUUGAUGUCGUCUGGUCUUCAUUGAUUCGGGCGUCUUAGAUAGGCCGUUUACUGUGAGAAAAUUAGAGUGUUCAAGGCAAGCGUUUUUGCAAUUGAAUAUUACAGCAUGGAAUAAUAAGAUACGACUUUCAGUCUAUUUUGUUGGUUUCUAGGGUGGAAGUAAUGAUUGAUAGGGAUAGUUGGGGGUGCUAGUAUUCAUCGGCCAGAGGUGAAAUUCAUGGAUUCGUUGAAGACUAACUUAUGCGAAAGCAUUCACCAAGGAUGUCCCCUUUAAUCAAGAAC
rnacentral:rRNA from 1 species